GUACACUCCUGCGGGAGGCAGCAGUGGGGAAUUUUGGACAAUGGGCGAAAGCCUGAUCCAGCAAUGCCGCGUGAGUGAAGAAGGCCUUCGGGUUGUAAAGCUCUUUUGUCAGGGAAGAAACGGUGAGAGCUAAUAUCUUUUGCUAAUGACGGUACCUGAAGAAUAAGCACCGGCUAACUACGUGCCAGCAGCCGCGGUAAUACGUAGGGUGCAAGCGUUAAUCGGAAUUACUGGGCGUAAAGCGUGCGCAGGCGGUUUUGUAAGUCUGAUGUGAAAUCCCCGGGCUCAACCUGGGAAUUGCAUUGGAGACUGCAAGGCUAGAAUCUAGCAGAGGGGGGUAGAAUUCCACGUGUAGCAGUGAAAUGCGUAGAUAUGUGGAGGAACACCGAUGGCGAAGGCAGCCCCCUGGGUCAAGAUUGACGCUCAUGCACGAAAGCGUGGGGAGCAAACAGGAUUAGAUACCCCGGUAGUCCC
rnacentral:rRNA from 1 species